UUGGCACAGAGGCUGUGUCACAGAGUGUGGAUCACCGCCCCGCCCCCCUCCACACACACCCAGAAAACCUGUGAGAGUCAGAAUCCCCUUCGCUCGCUGGAAUUGAAAGUUGUCCCGUCCAUGCCUGCCUACCUGCUGCCAUGUUCUCCGCCAUGACGGUCAUGGACUCUACCACCCUCUGCAACUGUACUGGAUUAUAAACAUGAACCACUAUGCCCAGUUUAUGAAGUGCUGGCUGGAGAUGGAAUGCAGGGCUUCCCCCAUGAUGGCAAGCACUAUGCCAGCUGAACCACAUCUCCAGUGCAGAUUGCCAUAUUUUCCCGUGGAUCUACAGGUACACACCGCAUAUCCAACCAAUCUUACUUUCAGCUUCUCAUCUCAGUAGCUACUUUUAUUUGGGGAAGUUUCAAUAUUGAGGGGGGGGGGAUGCUGUAGGUGACUGUGUUUGGAUAUGACCGACCAGAGACAUUGAGAAUUCAGGCCACCUGUGUUUUCAAUGGUUCCGAGACAUUAAAAAUAGAAAAGAUACCACAACAGGGGUGCAUAUCAUCAGUGGAUUUAAAAUAUUUACAUUUAAUAAAUCCCCACAUUGACACUCAAACUCUAGUGUUUAUAUAACUUCAUUUGGGGAAAAAAAAAACAUGUUAAAAGUCUAAACUCCAGGCUCUUCUGGGUGUGAGAUCCAGCCACUCUCUUUCCGGUUCCUGAUUCACACUCAUAUUAUGCCAGAAAAAGCACUGGUUAUAGGGAGGGCGGGUGUGUGUGGCUGAGCAGGCAGCUCAGAGGUACUUCAGUGUUCUGAGGAACCUCUUCACACCCAAGCACAAUUGGUCAUUGGCUACAAACCCUGUGGUCACAGGAAACAGUUCUCAGCAAGACAGAGGUAUCUGAAAGGCUUACUGGAAAGGCAUUAAAUCCGUUUGUUUCUAUAAAGUGUGUCUGCCCCAUGACAUCCGGAGGACUCCGAUGGGAGCAGGGGACAUAGUUCAGGGGGCAAAGUGCUUGUUGUGUAAACACAAGACCUGGGUUCCAUACCUAGGUCCCACGUAAAAGGAAAGCUGUGUGUGGUGAGGCUUGACUAACCCUAGUGCUGCGGAGGAAGACAGGUGGACCCCUGAGGCCUCCCGGCCAGCCAGCCUCUCCUAUUUGGUGAGCCUCAGGCCAGUGAGACACAGUGUCUCAAUAAAUACGGUGGACAGCAUUUCUGAGGAACAGUGCUGAAGGUUGUCCCACACGUGGAUGGACACGUGAGCGUGCAUGCCACCCUUUUACACCUGUGCCUUCUCGAAAUCACCAACCUCACCUCCAUGCACACUGCUACUGGACCCUGUCCUUUCCUUGACAUGCCUAAGGAUAGGCGCUUCCAACGGUGUGACUAUUAGGGUUCAGGGUCACAGGUUGUCACUUUAUAUUCUGAUAUUUCUGAAGGUAAAGCAGGAGGAAGAGGGACUGGGUAGAUGACCCGGUCUGUGGAAGGCCUGCUGCACAAGCAUGAGGAGCUGAGUUUGGAUCCCCAGAACCCAUGCAAAACGGGAUGUGGCAAUGUGAGUCACACUGGGGAGAGGCAGGUGGACACAGAGGGUCCCUGGGGCUUGAUGACCUGUCAGUCAAGUUGAUUAGCAAGCUCCAGGGUCAGUGAGAGCCCCUGUCUCAAAACGUGGAGUUGAGAGUGAUGAAGAUGCCCUCUAAUGUUCUCUGGCCUUCAUGUGCACAUGCACACAUGCACAGAUACACAUAAGCACAUAUAUACCACACACACUUAAACAAACAAAACAAA